rnacentral:piRNA from 1 species
UCAUGGUCAAAGUUGUUACGUUGCGUGG